CGCGUAGGCGGAUGUUUAAGUCAGAGGUGAAAGCCCAGGGCUCAACCUUGGAACUGCCUUUGAUACUGAACAUCUUGAGUACGGGAGAGGUGAGUGGAACUCCGAGUGUAGAGGUGAAAUUCGUAGAUAUUCGGAAGAACACCAGUGGCGAAGGCGACUCACUGGCCCGUUACUGACGCUGAAGCGCGAAAGCGUGGGGAGCAAACAGGAUUAGAUACCCUGGUAGUCCACGCUGUAAACGAUGAGUGCUAGUUGUCGGCAUGCAUGCAUGUCGGUGACGCAGCUAACGCAUUAAGCACUCCGCCUGGGGAGUACGGUCGCAAGAUUAAA
rnacentral:rRNA from 1 species